rnacentral:lncRNA from 1 species
ACUUCAACUGCAGUUAAUACAUCUUGCAAGGGAUCGUGAUCCUCUUCAUGUUCAACAGGACCCUUGUUGAGAUCAGGCAGCUUGUCUCCUUCCUCCUCUGGUACUGUGUUUAAGUCUAUUGCCAUGGAAGAUGGAUGAGAGGUGAAUGAAGAUGGAUGAGAAGUGAAUGGUUCAAAUGAGAAGGUAAAGAAGGUGUUCCAGAGAAAUGGCGCUGGGUUCAAAUUUCAGAUUGCUUUUGAUGUGAAUAAAUGGAGCGCAAGACUAGAUUUGGUUUUGGCUUUGAGUGCUAUUUGCCGUCAAAUGUAAUUCAUGUUUUGCUGUUCUUUUGAUUUGUUUAAAGCAAAAACACUGUACUACAUGUUUUAAUGUGAAAAAGUGGAUGUGACCAGUGGUUUGUCUAAUGGGAAAAAUAUUAUGCUC